rnacentral:rRNA from 1 species
CCGUAAAGUAACGGAGGAAGGUGGGGAUGACGUCAAAUCAUCAUGCCCCUUAUGACCUGGGCUACACACGUGCUACAAUGGUUGGUACAACGAGUUGCGAGUCGGUGACGGCGAGCUAAUCUCUUAAAGCCAAUCUCAGUUCGGAUUGUAGGCUGCAACUCGCCUACAUGAAGUCGGAAUCGCUAGUAAUCGCGGAUCAGCACGCCGCGGUGAAUACGUUCCCGGGCCUU